CGGCCUCUGCCCGUUUUCCCCGCCCCGCGCCUCUUAAGCCAUGCCGGGUUGAAAAUGCGGCUCCAAAAUGGCCCGCUCCGGGAAACGCGGCCGGCCUGGCGCAGAGGCCUAAAGCGGGGCAGGCCCCCCAAGGCGCUCCGGGAGCUCGUCGACGGCUGUGGGUGAAGCCCCCUGACUGCAGCCUGCCCGGGCCCCGCCGGCGGAGCCGAUCCGCGCUGGGGAAGCGCCCGGCUGGAGGGGAGGAAGAGGAGGAGGAGGAGGAGCCUCGACUCUCUGCUCCCCGAAUCCGGGAUUGUGGCCGACAUUGACUUGGAGAACAUUCUCUCGUUGAACGACGACAGCUUCUACGAGCUCAAGAGCCAACCCAUUGGUGUGAGCCCUCCAGCGGCUCCAGCCCAAGGCCCCACCAUGUCGUCGCGGGUUCUUCUGCGGCAGCAGCUGAUGCGGGCGCAGACCCAGGAGCAAGAGCGGCGGGAGCAGCAGCAGGCCGCCCAGUUCAGCCCCGUCGCCCCUGUGCCUUCCACA